GAGUUUGAUCAUGGCUCAGAUUGAACGCUGGCGGCAGGCCUAACACAUGCAAGUCGAACGGUAACAGGAAGCAGCUUGCUGCUUCGCUGACGAGUGGCGGACGGGUGAGUAAUGUCUGGGAAGCUGCCUGAUGGAGGGGGAUAACUACUGGAAACGGUAGCUAAUACCGCAUAAUGUCGCAAGACCAAAGAGGGGGACCUUCGGGCCUCUUGCCAUCGGAUGUGCCCAGAUGGGAUUAGCUUGUUGGUGGGGUAACGGCUCACCUAGGCGACGAUCCCUAGCUGGUCUGAGAGGAUGACCAGCCACACUGGAACUGAGACACGGUCCAGACUCCUACGGGAGGCAGCAGUGGGGAAUAUUGCACAAUGGGCGCAAGCCUGAUGCAGCCAUGCCGCGUGUAUGAAGAAGGCCUUCGGGUUGUAAAGUACUUUCAGCGGGGAGGAAGGGAGUAAAGUUAAUACCUUUGCUCAUUGACGUUACCCGCAGAAGAAGCACCGGCUAACUCCGUGCCAGCAGCCGCGGUAAUACGGAGGGUGCAAGCGUUAAUCGGAAUUACUGGGCGUAAAGCGCACGCAGGCGGUUUGUUAAGUCAGAUGUGAAAUCCCCGGGCUCAACCUGGGAACUGCAUCUGAUACUGGCAAGCUUGAGUCUCGUAGAGGGGGGUAGAAUUCCAGGUGUAGCGGUGAAAUGCGUAGAGAUCUGGAGGAAUACCGGUGGCGAAGGCGGCCCCCUGGACGAAGACUGACGCUCAGGUGCGAAAGCGUGGGGAGCAAACAGGAUUAGAUACCCUGGUAGUCCACGCCGUAAACGAUGUCGACUUGGAGGUUGUGCCCUUGAGGCGUGGCUUCCGGAGCUAACGCGUUAAGUCGACCGCCUGGGGAGUACGGCCGCAAGGUUAAAACUCAAAUGAAUUGACGGGGGCCCGCACAAGCGGUGGAGCAUGUGGUUUAAUUCGAUGCAACGCGAAGAACCUUACCUGGUCUUGACAUCCACGGAAGUUUUCAGAGAUGAGAAUGUGCCUUCGGGAACCGUGAGACAGGUGCUGCAUGGCUGUCGUCAGCUCGUGUUGUGAAAUGUUGGGUUAAGUCCCGCAACGAGCGCAACCCUUAUCCUUUGUUGCCAGCGGUCCGGCCGGGAACUCAAAGGAGACUGCCAGUGAUAAACUGGAGGAAGGUGGGGAUGACGUCAAGUCAUCAUGGCCCUUACGACCAGGGCUACACACGUGCUACAAUGGCGCAUACAAAGAGAAGCGACCUCGCGAGAGCAAGCGGACCUCAUAAAGUGCGUCGUAGUCCGGAUUGGAGUCUGCAACUCGACUCCAUGAAGUCGGAAUCGCUAGUAAUCGUGGAUCAGAAUGCCACGGUGAAUACGUUCCCGGGCCUUGUACACACCGCCCGUCACACCAUGGGAGUGGGUUGCAAAAGAAGUAGGUAGCUUAACCUUCGGGAGGGCGCUUACCACUUUGUGAUUCAUGACUGGGGUGAAGUCGUAACAAGGUAACCGUAGGGGAACCUGCGGUUGGA
rnacentral:rRNA from 1 species